GAUGAACGCUGGCGGCGUGCCUAAUACACGCAAGUCGAGCGAACAGACGAGGAGCUUGCUCCUCUGACGUUAGCGGCGGACGGGUGAGUAACACGUGGAUAACCUACCUAUAAGACUGGGAUAACUUCGGGAAACCGGAGCUAAUACCGGAUAAUAUAUUGAACCGCAUGGUUCAAUAGUGAAAGCCGGUUUUGCUGUCACUUAUAGAUGGAUCCGCGCCGCAUUAGCUAGUUGGUAAGGUAACGGCUUACCAAGUCGACGAUGCGUAGCCGACCUGAGAGGGUGAUCGGCCACACUGGAACUGAGACACGGUCCAGACUCCUACGGGAGGCAGCAGUAGGGAAUCUUCCGCAAAGGGCGAAAGCCUGACGGAACAACGCCGCGUGAGUGAUGAAGGUCUUCGGAUCGUAAAACUCUGUUAUUAGGGAAGAACAAAUGUGUAAGUAACUAUGCACGUCUUGACGGUACCUAAUCAGAAAGCCACGGCUAACUACGUG
rnacentral:rRNA from 1 species